UCAGGUUUACACAUGGCAUCUGCAUUCAUUUGAUCCCGACUAUAUAUUAUGCGAUAUAUUCUUUCACGUAUGACGUAACCAAGCCACUCGAUAAAUCAUUUUUCACGAUCUACCAUGUUCAUUCGUGUAACGCAGUUCAACAUGUUUGUAAUCAAGCAAUCACGAGUCUUAAAGACCCAGGGAUAUGCUGCUCAACAAAUCAAGGGGACGAGUGUGGCUCGCUUGAGCGUUGUGUCGAUCGGAGAGAUUGGGGAGGACCGGUCAUUAUGAAGCCCUACAUCAGCUCAAGGCGGGAAAGUUCUCGAUCCCGCCUUGCAAGCCGCGAAAGUAAAGCGGCGCCACUUCCCCGCUCCUCCCUCUUCCCCAUCGUCGCACCGUAGUCGUUCUUGCUUUCUUGGUUCUUUUCCAUCCUCCUCUAGGGUUAGGGUUCCUCUUGCGCGGGGGAAGGGACGGGGGUUCGCUGAAUGUUAGAGCGCAAUGGGCGUCAAUAAGGUCACGGACGAAGGCAUCGCGGUCGUCCGUUCGGUGGUGGGGCAGGAUUUCUCGGACAUGGACAUCAUCCGUGCUCUCCACUUGGCCAACAACGACGUAUCGGCCGCCAUCAACAUAAUCUUCGACACCCCACGCAUCCGCGUCACCCCCGGCGAUGGAAGCGCCGGCGCCCGGAGAAGAAACCUCGAUCCCCUCACUGUGGCUGAUUCUCCUGCCGAUCAUGCGCCCGUCACUGCCGGUUCUCCCACUUCCGCGGAGAGUGAUCUACCUGCGGAGCGGAACACUGACGGGGGGGUUGCUGCGGAAUCGUCCGGUUCCAAAGAAAGUGAUUGGUGGCUCGUAGGAAGCACCGAGCUUUCUGGGCUUUCCACCUGCAAGGGGAGGCGGAUUAAGCCCGGGGACAAGGUGAACUUCUCCUUCCCGUUGGCAAAUAAGACGACUUCCCCUUCCACGGCCACCAGGUUUCCCGGUAGAGGGCGGUCGGUGGCUUCUUGUUCUGAGAUAGUUCGCUUCUCUACUGAGGAUCACGUAGAGAUUGGUCGCAUCCCCAAUGAAUGGGCUCGCUGCCUUUUGCCUCUGGUGAGGACAAAGAAGAUUAAAAUUGAAGGUUUUUGUAAAUCUGUGCCUGAAGUCCUUGGCAUUAUGGAUACUAUUCAUUUAUCUGUUAGUGUGUAUAUCAAUAGCUCUAUGAUCCAGAAACAUCAACAAACCACAGUGAGGUCCAUAAAUAUUUCCACUGAGGAAUCAUCAGUUCAUCCACUUCCAUCCCUGUUCAGAUUACUUGGUCUUACUCCUUUUAGAAAGGCUGAGUUCACUCCGGAGGAUCUCUACACUAGGAAGCGGGCCAUAGAAUUCAAGGACAGGUCUGGAGUGUCUGCAGAAGUUUUACCUUCAGAAAAGUUGAGAAAAUUAUGUGUCAAUGGGAGUAAAGUCGAAGAUAAUGAGGAGACUAUCUCAGAUACUGAUAUGGAUAGUAUUAUAGGCAUUGCAGAUAGUUCUCAGCUAGAGGAAAUGAUACCCCCUGACAGUCUGCAGUGCGAGUUACGUCCUUACCAAAAGCAAGCUCUUUAUUGGAUGGUACAGCUUGAAAAAGGAAGACGUUUUAAGGAGGCAGCAACCACACUACAUCCAUGUUGGAGUGCAUAUCAUAUUGCGGAUAGGAGGGGAUUUGUUGUUUAUCUGAACGCAUUUUCUGGCGAUGUAACACUUGAAUUUCCAAGCACCUUGCAUAUGUCUAGAGGCGGGAUUUUGGCAGAUGCAAUGGGACUAGGGAAGACCAUUAUGACGAUAGCCCUUCUCCUUGCCCAUUCUGGUAAGGGAGGCUCGUCUUCUUCCACUUCAAGCCAGGAUUCUCUUGAUACAAAUGAAGUCAAUGACAUGUCUGAUCAAUCUCCAAUUACUUCGAAUAAGUUAACAAGCAUCACUGGAUUCAGAAAGUUGUUUAAAUCCAAGGCUUCACUUGUAGGAGGUGGUAAUCUAAUUGUGUGUCCAAUGACAUUACUAAGCCAGUGGAAGGUUGAACUUGAAACCCAUACUCAUCCAGGAUCUCUUACUGUCUAUGUUCACUAUGGGCAAAGCCGAACUAAAGAUGCAAAGUUUUUGGCGCAAAAUGAUGUUGUUCUAACUACCUAUGGUGUUUUGGCAUCAGAAUAUUCAGCUGAAAGUACUGAAGAAAAUGGUGUACUUUACUCAGUUAGGUGGUUCAGGGUUGUGCUUGAUGAAGCUCAUACUGUAAAAUCAUCUAAGAGCCAGGUCUCCAUGGCUGCUGCAUUUCUUAACGCUGACAGGAGGUGGUGUCUCACUGGCACACCUAUUCAGAACAACUUAGAGGAUGUAUACAGUCUUCUGCGAUUUCUGAGAGUGGAGCCAUGGGGAAACUGGGGGCUGUGGUAUAAACUUAUACAAAAGCCUUAUGAGGAAGGUGAUGAACGUGGAUUAAAACUGGUGCAGUCCAUUUUAAGGCCAAUAAUGUUAAGAAGGACAAAAUCGAGCACAGAUGCAGAAGGCAGGCCAAUUCUCGUGCUUCCUCCUGCACAAGUUGAAGUCCUUUACUGUGAGCUGUCAGCAGCUGAGAAGGACUUCUAUGAGGCUCUUUUUAAGAGAUCUAAGGUAAAGUUUGAUAUGUUUGUGGAGCAAGGGCGGGUUCUUCACAAUUAUGCUUCAAUUUUGGAGUUGCUUUUACGCCUUCGGCAGUGUUGCGACCAUCCCUUCCUUGUCAUGAGUCGAGGUGAUACACAAGAGUUCUCAGACCUCAACAAACUUGCAAAACAUUUUCUGAAAGGUGGUAAAGAUGCUGGUAAUGGAGAUACCUGUGCUGUCCCUUCUAAGGCAUACAUUAAAGAGGUUGUGGAAGAGCUGCGUAAAGGAGAGGAAGGAGAGUGUCCAAUUUGUUUAGAAGCUUAUGAAGAUGCAGUAUUGACACCGUGUGCACACCGUUUAUGCCGAGAGUGCCUCUUCGCUAGCUGGCGAAGUGCCUUGAGUGGUCUUUGUCCUGUUUGUAGGAAAAUUAUAAAUAAGCAGGAUCUUAUUACUGCUCCGACCGACCGUCGUUUUCGAAUUGAUGUUGAGAAGAACUGGGUUGAAUCUUCAAAGGUUUCUGUUCUCCUUCAGGAAUUAGACAAACUUCGCUCUUUAGGUGCCAAAAGUAUCAUAUUUAGCCAAUGGACUGGUUUUCUGGAUCUUCUGGAAAUACCGCUUUCUCGACACAAUUUCUUGUUUGUUAGAUUGGAUGGGACCUUAAAUCAACAGCAAAGGGAAAAAGUACUCAACAAGUUUGCUGAGAAUACAAAUAUAUUGGUACUUCUAAUGUCACUGAAGGCUGGUGGUGUUGGAAUAAACCUUACGGCAGCAACUAAUGCCUUUCUUAUGGAUCCCUGGUGGAACCCAGCUGUUGAAGAACAGGCUGUGAUGCGAAUACAUCGCAUUGGUCAAACCAAAAGUGUAGCCAUCAAAAGAUUCAUUGUAAAGGGAACCGUGGAAGAAAGAAUGGAAAUGGUACAGGCUCGAAAGCAGAGGAUGAUAUCUGGAGCCCUAACAGACCAUGAACUUCGCACUGCACGAAUCGAAGAACUAAAGAUGCUUUUUACUUGAAAUUCUGCAAAACGAGAUGUGAGAUGUUCUCACGUGCUUGAGCUACCUUUCAUAAUAUUCUCGUUUCCUCUGUUAGGCUGUUCGGGGGGGACACUCUUAGUAAAAUCGUGUUCUGCUCACAAGGGACCCACUCCGUUUGAACGGCCACGAUGCUUUCAGAGAAAUGAGAAUCUCUCUCGUGUUUGAAAUCUUUGUAAAUGCUCAUAUAUGUAGCGUCUAGUUGUCCAGAUAUAGUGUUUUCCCCUGUCAGAAUUCAAAUCAAUCAAUACUAAUAGUUAAACUCUCCUAGCGGUAGCGUUGGAGUGUUGCGUUUGAUGCCACGACGUGGCAAGCGUUCCACAACCUUCAGUCCUUUUCCAGAGCUGUUUACCAAGUACCCGUCGCCUUCUUCCUCGGUUGCCGCCGAUAAGACCUAUCCAUGCAUCACCCCCACCACAACCAUCGAGGGCUUCUGCGCGCUGCACACGAACGUCGUGACAGAGACGGCGAGAUGGAGAUAAGGGCGGUAAGCGGGGACGAGGAAGGUAGGAAGAAGGUGGAGAGGGUGGAGGUGCCCAAGACCCGCCGCUCGGACGCCGUGCGCUACAUAGAGAAGAAGCUGGUGGACAAGGGCGGAAGCCAAGGAAGGAGUCUCUAGGAUUGAGGUUCUCCCGCCUCUCCUUGGAGUUUCUAGGAUUGAGGUUCUCCCGCCUCUCCAGCCGAGCCAUGAUCCAUCCGCUCUUUAAUCUUCUUCUUCUUCUUUUUCUUCCUUUGCUGUCCGAGUUUACUGAGCCACAAAAAAUCAGUGUGUUAUGUAGCAAGGGUUUGGGUUUGUCCGAGUACUCUUUUCGUUUCCUCGUCAGCCGAAAGUAAAGGAAAAGGAAUGAUUUGUCGGACAAACUAUUUUCUGUAAGCCAUGAAAUCAACUCUAAACUGGAAUAAAAGGUAAAUAUAAUCUGUAAGAGUCAUAACUAUGUUUAACAUUGGUGUACUCUAACAAAGGCAAAUGUCAUCUCGAAUGUUGUUUGAAUCGCAAGUAUCACUAAAAUUAAAACCCA